AGACAUUUAUAUGUAUGCACCUACAACGGGCCUUAUUUACUGUUGCACCACACAAUACUUUUUUAGGAAAUAUUUUUAUCCCCCAACAUUCCUGGAAAUUGCAUAUUCUUGGAGCAUUGUGUGACACAGUCACGCUCCCAGAUCUUGAGAGAGCUAGUGCUGCGAACCCUUUUGCAACAGCUCUUUCUUUCCGGCAGUGCUGUGUGAUUUGUGCAAGUGGUCUAUGCAGCACUAUGCUCGGCUGUUUUGCAGCAUGCUAGAUCCUGAGGGCAGUGUGGAGCACAGGGCUUCCUCCUCCUUCAGAGUUUUUUUCAUCCCUGUAGCCAUGCUCCUUUCUGUAGCAGCGUUGUUUUUCUUAGCAUUUGCCGCCUCGCAGCAGAAAGAGAACGAUUUUUAUACAUUUAAACUGGUAAACAUCAGGGGCAAACUAGUCUCUCUGGAGAAAUACAGAGGCUCGGUAUCUCUGGUCGUCAAUGUUGCAAGUGAGUGCGGAUUUACAGAUAGCCACUACAAAGCUCUACAACAAUUACAGAGAGACCUUGGCCCGCAUCAUUUUAAUGUGCUGGCAUUCCCAUGUAAUCAAUUUGGGCAGCAAGAGCCAGACAGUAAUAAAGAAAUUGAGAGCUUUGCCCGAAAGACUUAUGGUGCCUCCUUUCCUAUGUUCAGCAAAACUGCCGUCACAGGUGCUGGUGCUAAUGCUGCCUUCAAAUAUUUAAUUGAAUCCACAGGAGAAGAACCAACCUGGAACUUCUGGAAGUACCUGAUAGCCCCUAAUGGGAAAGUAGUAAAGGCUUGGGACUCAACUGUCACUAUAGAAGAAAUAAAACCUUACAUCACUGAGCUUGUGAGGAAAAUCAUCCUGAAGCAGAAAGAAGAACUGUGACUUUCAAAAGUCCCAUCAUGUCUAUUAUACCUUGAUUAAUAAUUAGGACUGUAAUUUGACUGUUUGCAUUCCAAAAGAGGAAAUAGAGGGACAGGAAAUCGUUAUGACUAAUUGAAGUUUUCCCCAUCAUCCUAAGAAUACAGGAAACAAUAACUGAAUGUGGUAAAAGAGUAAGGAGCAGAUGAACGGAUAGAGAGGAAAGGAGAGAAGCCAAAGUAAUUGAUGGUUCCUGGACUUGCACAGCUGCUGCUAGGGUCAUGGAUGCCUAGCAGGAGCAGUCCAAGAGGGUAGAAGCUGGAACUGCCUUGAGACUUGCAGAAAGGCCAGGGGAACUGGAACCUGAACUGUGUUUUCUACUGCAUCAAGCAAGCUGACAUCAUCUGAGAAAAUCUGAUGAGUUUUAAAAAUAAAUAAGGAGAAUAAACGGAAAAAAGUGUGUGUGUGUGUGGGAGGGAAGACAAAUAAAGGAGAUGGAGGGGGAGAUCACAGCCCCAAGGCAGAAGGGCAAAGAAUCUCUGAGCCAGCUGCAGUUGGAAAUUGUGGAAAUUUCCAGAAUCAGGCACUAUUGACGCUAAUUAACAUAUUCAGUCCUACAAACAGAUGUUAGACUAAAAUGAAGGGUGUGGCUUACACCUAUGCAAGCAAGGAAAAUCAGUGCUAGUGGGCGUGGCACAUAGAUAGAUGGGCAUGUAGGAAGAAGAGAGCAGCAAACCCCUAGUUCUUUUCUAUUAUUCAGUCUAUUGCUAAAUGAGUCGUAGCACCUCAGGCAGUGACUUCAUCACACCUCGCAAGUGAAGGAGAGUCAGGUGUGUCUGUUAUGUGGCAGGGAGAUCACCAAGGAGAAUCCAGGGUAAUGGAAGAAAAGAGAUUAAUGAUUCAGUAUGUGGCUCUCUUCCCUCUACAUAAAUACAGAAACAGUGUCCUAGCAUGGUAUUGGCAGGCAUUAUGCUGCUGGAAAUACUGUCCUUUGGAUGAGGUAUAUAACUGAGGCUCUGACUAGCACAGAGCACUCUUCAUAAUAAUAGGAGCAUUAGCCCCAGUGUCCUAGCCAAAGUUCAAGUGUGGUAAUUAAUACAUUCUGGUUCCUUAAAUUCCUCUUCACUUUUUGUCCUAAACUGGUGGCUAGUGAUGCUGCACAGCGUUAAACAGCUGAUGCAGUCCACCUUACUAGUGGCAACAGUUUAGCGGUCGAUGAAAUGAAUACUAUGUAAGCUAGUACAUUUAAACACUGAUCCAGUAAGGGACUUGAGCACAUGAAUGCUUACAUUUAAGUUAACAGAAAUAGUCAUGUGGUGAGAGUUAAGCAUAUAACAUUUUUAAAUCCUUUGUUGGGCUGAAGUCAUAGUUGGUAGAGCAAGUUUAGAUAUUUCAGGAUGAAUGGUGCUAGAUAAAUGUAAAUCAUAAUUUUUUUAUUAGGAGAGAAAUCUGUCCUCUAGUCAUUUGAUAUGAUCUUGUCACUAGAUAGACAAACCAUAGAUAACAAGCCAAAUUGCAGUGGAUUGUAUUUGUUCUCUGAGGAUUCAACAAGUGUGUAGAUAUCAGAAAUUAUUCCUUUGGCUUAUGAAUUCUAACACUGUUCAAGUCUGACAGGGAUCUUCCCCAGGGCACCUCCUGGAAACUACGUAGAACCACUGAAUGUGCCAUGCUUAAAUCUUAUCUGCAUUGCAACUUGCCUGUAUUACAGAAAGAUUUGGUAUGUGUUAACAAACAUACAUUUCUGUGAAUGGAUAGCAAUUGUCUAGGGCUUUAAGAUUUAUAGCAUGCAGAUCUGACAGAUGUAGACUAUCCCUGUAAGAAAUACAUCACAUUAGUUUAACGUCUAAGAUAAGUGAUGAGAUACAUAACUGCACGUUAUUAUAUGUCCCUGUAUGGUAUGACAGAGGAAGAAGAAAUCACUUCAGAGACUGGUCUCACAGCCAUUAUUCAGACAAAAUACCUGUUGACUUUAAGAGUUUUGCCUGAGUAGACAUUGCAGAAUCAGACCCACAUAAUACAAAAAAUCUGUUUGCAAAGUGGGACUCGUACCCUGAAAUAUUUACAAUGAAACAGGGGUUUAAACAUGUAUUUUUGUUUGUUUGUUUUGUUUUUUGGUAAGUGACAAGCUUUAUGGGUCUGGUUCAUCUCUGUGUUAUUCCAGUUUUAUGCUGGGAUCAUUCCAUUUUCAUAAAUGGAAUGACACUGGUAUAAUGCUGGAAUAACGCAAUGGUGAGUAACGCCUAAUGUGACUUUGUUGGGUGGUACCUAAUGCACCAUUGACAACAUAUUAGCUCAUUGCUCAACAACUGGCUGAAUGUGGUCCAAAUUACUAAAUACAGACAUCCAUUUGUUCAAAUGGACUGAGUUUUAUGGUAAACUACAGUCAACUCUUGGAUCAGCCAAAUAAAUCUGUUUUUGUUGUUGUAAAUUUGCUUAUGUUUAUU